rnacentral:rRNA from 1 species
CAGUAGCCGCGGUAAUACGUAGGGUGCGAGCGUUAAUCGGAAUUACUGGGCGUAAAGCGUGCGCAGGCGGUUGUGUAAGACAGGUGUGAAAUCCCCGGGCUUAACCUGGGAACUGCGCUUGUGACUGCACAGCUAGAGAAUGGCAGAGGGGGGUGGAAUUCCACGUGUAGCAGUGAAAUGCGUAGAGAUGUGGAGGAACACCGAUGGCGAAGGCAGCCCCCUGGGCCAAUACUGACGCUCAUGCACGAAAGCGUGGGGAGCAAACAGGAUUAGAUACCCCUGUAGUCCCUGUCUCUUAUAC